CCCAAGCAGAAUGAUUAGCGCUCCAGCAGAAUACGAUAUUGGUGGAUAAUCAGAAGCGGAUGGCAGAUCGUUUGGACUAAUGGGAAGCAGGGUUCACGUCAGCCUCUCUGGAAGUUCCCACGAAGAAUAAAUAAUAAAUCAACAUCCUGGUGACAGCCCUUGGUUUGGCCAGCUGAGGCUAAUUUACGGUCUGUUGCAAGUUCUUUUGGAGUCAUCCUGGAUUCUUUUGCAAGCAAUUUAGAAAAUAAAUAGAAUAGAAAUCUGAAGACUGCUGUGUAAAUGAUUUCUUGGCCCCUGCAGGAAGCAAGCACCAUUGCAACCCUCUCCCAUCAGUGCACUCAUCCAGAUGCGGAGUCUUGAUUGGCAGCUCAGUAAACUGUGUAGGAGUAAAUCUGAAGGAGGAGAGUGGGAACUAACGACUCUGGUGGGUGUGAAUUAACCCACCCUGGAGCAGCCUCAAUAGCAAAAGGUCAGCUCCGUGACUCGUGCCUUUCCAUCAUGACAUUCAUGCUCAAGUUAACAGCUAUUGCCAUCAUCACAGAACAAUCACCUGACAUGCAGAUGUCUAAUUAAGGUGCCAUAAGUCGCAGGUUACAAAUUUGA